GUCAUAACUGUGGAGGGCAGUCUAUAGGAGGAGCACAGACAAAGAGGAUCUGUCAUAUAACUGAUCAGGAGUCAAAGAGAGCAUCUCAGUGGUUGUGGCUGAAGAGUGAGAAGCAGUGGACGAGCCAACAGGCUCACUUGGGCCUGAUUAACCCGUCCUUCAGAAGGGGUAGUGGGUAGCACAAAGAGAUAAGAGGGUACCUCACCUGAAGAUCAGCCAGGAGCUGCAGAAAUGUCUGUUUGUGGUGAUCCAGAUCAACAAAGGUCUUCUCUUCAUUCAGUCUACCAGUGUGUCGUGGAGUUCUAAUGGAUGUAUUCUGUACAUACAUCCUGGCUGCUUUACAGGAUCAAAAGAAGACAUUCUGGUCUGGAUCCGGUGUAUUGACGGUACCGUUGGAGAUUAUUAACAUUGCCCUUGUAGUUGCAGGAGAGAGUGAUGUCUGUUCCUUGGAGAGCAUUGACAUCAGGCUUCACUGGAGUUUUUGUUUCCUGCUCUAUUCUAUCAGCUGCAACAACAUAAGUAUUGUCAUUGUGUUCAUGUUAAUCCCAAAUGAAGUUGAAUGGUCAAUGGAAAUAUCUGGAUUAGAUACCCCUGUCAUGUAAAGACAUGUUACGAGUAAGAAUAUUAACUUUUAAGUAUUACUACCAUUUUGUUCUCAAAAUGUUAUUUGGUUUAAUAUGAGAAUUCAGCACAGUAAUAUGAGUGACAUCCUGACACAGACUAGAUAAACCAACUGAGAGAUAAGACAGUGAGAGAGCUGAGUAGUUCCUCUACAGAGACAUCCUCAUGGUUGCAGGUAUACCCAGCCUAUACCAGUGUUUGACAACUCAAUAUGUAACUGUUCUUCUGUGGUUUGUGGUUAGGGGUUUUCAGUUCCUAUUGGCCUCCUCCUUAGAUUAUUUUAGACUUAAUUUCUAUAUGGAAAUGUCUAGGGAAUGCUAUUGUUUGUUUGUUAUUUGUAUUUAUUUUUUGUUGUUAUAAUAGAUCCACAAUAAUAUGUAAUGCUAUACCAUAUGUACAAUGAAUUGUAUAAUAUUUUAUCACACUUGAUGAGGA
rnacentral:lncRNA from 1 species